GUGCAGCAGGCGAGAAUUUUUCUCAAUGGGGGAAACCCUGAAGGAGCGACGCCGCGUGGAGGAUGAAGGCUUUCGGGUUGUAAACUCCUGUCAUUUGAGAACGAGUGGCCGAACGUAACUGCUUCGGCCUUGAUAGUAUCAGAAGAGGAAGGGACGGCUAACUCUGUGCCAGCAGCCGCGGUAAUACAGAGGUCUCAAGCGUUGUUCGGAUUCAUUGGGCGUAAAGGGUGCGUAGGUGGCGCCGUAAGUCGGGUGUGAAAUUUCGGAGCUUAACUCCGAAACUGCAUUCGAUACUGCGGUGCUUGAGGACUGGAGAGGAGACUGGAAUUUACGGUGUAGCAGUGAAAUGCGUAGAGAUCGUAAGGAAGACCAGUGGCGAAGGCGGGUCUCUGGACAGUUCCUGACACUGAGGCACGAAGG
rnacentral:rRNA from 1 species